rnacentral:tRNA from 1 species
GGUGGCUCAGUGGUAGAGCGCUUGCCUAGCAUGCAUGAAGUCCUGGGUUCGAUUCCUCAGCACCA